CUGCAGUGAUGCUUCUCUUAAGAUACCGUUGGAUAUAUCAUGAAAGACAAAUCAAAUCUGGUCUGGGAAGUGGCGCAGC
rnacentral:snoRNA from 1 species